rnacentral:ncRNA from 1 species
UGAAUCCGUACGGGAGAGAGUCCGUGCAGCCGGCGCGGGCCGCCGAAGGAGCAAUUCCUCCCCAGAGAACCUCUCAGGCGCUGUGGACCGUACGGUCGAG